rnacentral:rRNA from 1 species
CCUACGGGAGGCAGCAGUAGGGAAUCUUCCGCAAUGGACGAAAGUCUGACGGAGCAACGCCGCGUGAACGAUGAAGGCCUUCGGGUCGUAAAGUUCUGUUGUUAGGGAAGAACAAGUGCUAGUUGAAUAAGCUGGCACCUUGACGGUACCUAACCAGAAAGCCACGGCUAACUACGUGCCAGCAGCCGCGGUAAUACGUAGGUGGCAAGCGUUGUCCGGAAUUAUUGGGCGUAAAGCGCGCGCAGGCGGUUUCUUAAGUCUGAUGUGAAAGCCCCCGGCUCAACCGGGGAGGGUCAUUGGAAACUGGGAAACUUGAGUGCAGAAGAGGAAAGUGGAAUUCCAAGUGUAGCGGUGAAAUGCGUAGAGAUUUGGAGGAACACCAGUGGCGAAGGCGACUUUCUGGUCUGUAACUGACGCUGAGGCGCGAAAGCGUGGGGAGCAAACAGGGUUAGAUACCCUGGUAGUCCACGCUGUAAACGAUGAGUGCUAAGUGUUAGAGGGUUUCCGCCCUUUAGUGCUGAAGUUAACGCAUUAAGCACUCCGCCUGGGGAGUACGGUCGCAAGACUGAAACUCAAAAGGAAUUGACGGNUGAGAGNGCGAGACGACACGAGGGAGAG